AGUGAACGCUGGCGGUAGGCCUAACACAUGCAAGUCGAACGGCAGCACAGUAAGAGCUUGCUCUUACGGGUGGCGAGUGGCGGACGGGUGAGGAAUACAUCGGAAUCUACUUUUUCGUGGGGGAUAACGUAGGGAAACUUACGCUAAUACCGCAUACGACCUACGGGUGAAAGCAGGGGAUCUUCGGACCUUGCGCGAUUGAAUGAGCCGAUGUCGGAUUAGCUAGUUGGCGGGGUAAAGGCCCACCAAGGCGACGAUCCGUAGCUGGUCUGAGAGGAUGAUCAGCCAACUUGGAACUGAGACACGGUCCAGCCCCCUACGGGAGGCAGCAGGGGGGAAUUUUGGACAAGGGGCGAAAGCCUGAUCCAGCCAUACCGCGUGGGUGAAGAAGGCCUUCGGGUUGUAAAGCCCUUUUGUUGGGAAAGAAAAGCAGCAGGUUAAUACCCCGCUGUUCUGACGGUACCAAAAAAAUAAGCACCGGCUAACUUCGU
rnacentral:rRNA from 1 species